rnacentral:tRNA from 1 species
CGUUCUAUGGUCGAAUUGGUAAAGGCAUCGCCGAUCACAGGCGAGGUUGCGGGUGCGAGUCCCGCUGGAACGA